rnacentral:rRNA from 1 species
GAUGAACGCUGACAGAAUGCUUAACACAUGCAAGUCUACUUGAACUUCGGUUUGGGUGGCGGACGGGUGAGUAACGCGUAAAGAACUUGCCUCACAGUUAGGGACAACAUUUGGAAACGAAUGCUAAUACCUGAUAUUAUGAUUUUAGGGCAUCCUAGGAUUAUGAAAGCUAUAUGUGCUGGGAGAGAGCUUUGCGUCCCAUUAGCUAGUUGGAGAGGUAACGGCUCACCAAGGCGAUGAUGGGUAGCCGGCCUGAGAGGGUGAACGGCCACAAGGGGACUGAGACACGGCCCUUACUCCUACGGGAGGCAGCAGUGGGGAAUAUUGGACAAUGGACCAAAAGUCUGAUCCAGCAAUUCUGUGUGCACGAUGACGUUUUUCGGAAUGUAAAGUGCUUUCAGUUGGGAAGAAAAAAAUGACGGUACCAACAGAAGAAGUGACGGCUAAAUACGUG